UACAGAGGGUGCAAGCGUUGUUCGGAAUUACUGGGCGUAAAGCGUGCGUAGGUGGUUCGUUAAGUCUGUCGUGAAAGCCCCGGGCUCAACCUGGGAAUGGCGAUGGAUACUGGCGGGCUAGAGUGCGGUAGAGGAGAGUGGAAUUCCCGGUGUAGCAGUGAAAUGCGUAGAGAUCGGGAGGAACAUCAGUUGCGAAGGCGGCUCUCUGGACCAGCACUGACACUGAGGCACGAAAGCGUGGGGAGCAAACAGG
rnacentral:rRNA from 1 species